rnacentral:rRNA from 1 species
GACGAACGCUGGCGGCGUGCUUAACACAUGCAAGUCGAACGGAAAGGCCCUGCUUUUGUGGGGUGCUCGAGUGGCGAACGGGUGAGUAACACGUGAGUAACCUGCCCUUGACUUUGGGAUAACUUCAGGGAACUGGGGCUAAUACCGGAUAGGAGCUCCUGCUGCAUGGUGGGGGUUGGAAAGUUUCGGCGGUUGGGGAUGGACUCGCGGCUUAUCAGCUUGUUGGUGGGGUAGUGGCUUACCAAGGCUUUGACGGGUAGCCGGCCUGAGAGGGUGACCGGCCACAUUGGGACUGCGAUACGGCCCAGACUCCUACGGGAGGCAGCAGUGGGGAAUCUUGCACAAUGGGGGGAAGCCUGAUGCAGCAACGCCGCGUGCGGGAUGACGGCCUUCGGGUUGUAAACCGCUUUCGCCUGUGACGAAGCGUGAGUGACGGUAAUGGGUAAAGAAGCACCGGCUAACUACGUG